AACCCUCCAUUGGCCAGAGUCAGACUCGAGCCAAUAAGAAGUUCUCCUAAGCGAGACCACUAUAUCUAAAGAAAAGAGUGAAGAUUAAUGUGAGUGCAAUUUUGAGUGGAAACCAAGAUGGCCAAUUUUUCAAGUCACUACGGAAUGUUGGUGUCUCUCUUGCUUACGUGGAUCCAAAUCCAAGCCAAGGUGUUUUGCUACCAAUACAAAGUUGGAGAUCUAGAUGCUUGGGGGAUACCCUCCUCAGAAAAUCCAUAAGUCUACACAAAAUGAUCCAAAUAUCACAAUCUCACAAUUGGAGACUCCCUUUUGGAGCUGGAUUUGGUUAGUGACUUCCCGUUGGUGGCUUGAAUUUUCUGCUUGUAAUACAAUUUAAAAAAAUGUUAUAAAACUUGUAUAUGCUAUAUGGAAGUAGUGAAGAAAAAUUACUUUGUGCUAGGUGCACAUUGACAAUAUAUUUAUGCCA